rnacentral:misc_RNA from 1 species
CAGAGUUGCAAAACUCCCACAAACCAUCGCGAAUCUUACCCGUACGGUUGCCUCGGCGCUGGCGGUCCGGAAGGCCCUCGGGCCCCCCGGGUCCUCGGGUCUCCCGCUCGCGGGAGGCUGCCCGCCGGAGUGCCGAAACCAAACUCUUGAUAUUUUAUGUCUCUCUGAGUAAACUUUUAAAUAAGUCA